rnacentral:rRNA from 1 species
UACAGAGGGUGCAAGCGUUAAUCGGAAUUACUGGGCGUAAAGCGUGCGUAGACGGUUAUGUAAGUCGGGUGUGAAAGCCCCGGGCUCAACCUGGGAAUGCCAUUCGAGACUGCAUAGCUAGGGUGCGGAAGAGGGAAGCGGAAUUUCCGGUGUAGCGAUGAAAUGCGUAGAUAUCGGAAGGAACACCAGUGGCGAAAGCGGCUUCCUGGUCCAGCACCGACGUUCAGGCACGAAAGCGUGGGGAGCAAACAGG